rnacentral:rRNA from 3 species
AAAUUGAAGAGUUUGAUCAUGGCUCAGAUUGAACGCUGGCGGCAGGCCUAACACAUGCAAGUCGAACGGUAACAGGAAGCAGCUUGCUGCUCGGGUGACGAGUGGCGGACGGGUGAGUAAUGUCUGGGAAACUGCCUGAUGGAGGGGGAUAACUACUGGAAACGGUGGCUAAUACCGCAUAACGUCGCAAGACCAAAGAGGGGGACCUUCGGGCCUCUUG